UACGAAGGGGACUAGCGUUGUUCGGAAUCACCGGGCGUAAAGCGCACGUAGGCGGAUUCGUAAGUCAGGGGUGAAAUCCCGGGGCUCAACCUCGGAACUGCCUUUGAUACUGCGGGUCUUGAGUCCGAUAGAGGUGGGUGGAAUUCCUAGUGUAGAGGUGAAAUUCGUAGAUAUUAGGAAGAACACCGGUGGCGAAGGCGGCCCACUGGAUCGGUACUGACGCUGAGGUGCGAAAGCGUGGGGAGCAAACAGG
rnacentral:rRNA from 1 species